AGUAACGCGUGGGUAACCUGCCUUGUACUGGGGGACAACAGUUAGAAAUGACUGCUAAUACCGCAUAAGCGCACAGUAUCGCAUGAUACAGUGUGAAAAACUCCGGUGGUACAAGAUGGACCCGCGUCUGAUUAGCUAGUUGGUGAGGUAGCGGCCCACCAAGGCAACGAUCAGUAGCCGACCUGAGAGGGUGACCGGCCACAUUGGGACUGAGACACGGUCCAA
rnacentral:rRNA from 1 species